rnacentral:rRNA from 1 species
AUCUGGGCCGCGGAAUUCAGGAUGGCUGACGCGAGAGCGGCGGCCGUUUGAUAUUUCCGUGGCCGUGUCGGACGUCGCGACCUGUUCGCCGGUCGGUCCCUGCUCGGAGGAAUCGCGAUCGAGUUCGUUGUGCGGCGCGUUUCGGCGUGCGGCGCGACGAAGACGCGACUCUCUGGCCGACGGCGGACAGUAGGCAACGGUGUCCGACGCCGUGUCUCGUACACGGGGCGUCGGUGCCGGUCUGCGACGAUUUCUUCGGGCCUCUUUCCGACCCGUCUUGAAACACGGACCAAGGAGUCUAACAUGCGCGCGAGUCGCGGGGUCUCGAGCGUGCUACGGCGCGCUCGUCACUUGCGAAACCCGUACGGUGGAAGGCGUAAUGAAAGUGAAGAAGGGAAGAUGGCGUUCCGAGUCCACGUACCGUGAUCAUCGAGUGUCGCGGCCGGACGUCCGCACUCCCGGGGCGUCUCGAUGGUUCGUCGCGGACGCGGACGGUCGUCUUUCGGGGCGGCCGUCGGUCUGCGCCGGACCGA